rnacentral:lncRNA from 1 species
GACUUGACUGCGGCGCUGAUGCUAAUCCUUUUGAAGGUGAGAUCUUUGGAGGCGGCUGUUUCUCUUCCACUUUCGGCUUCUUGUCUACGUGCAGUUGCGCACUAGUUCCUGUGAAAUACGCAAAGAAAACUUAUUGCGCACUAUAUGAAGCAAGUAAUUACCUUCUGCUGGGCGCUUCGCAGGUACUUUCGAAGGCGAAUCAGCCUUUGGUUUUGACGCACGAAUUUUGUCAAAGAGGCCAUCCUCGGUAAUAAAUGGAGUUCUGCAAAGACGUCUAGCGAUGAGUAGCUCAGAAGAGAGAUGAAACACUCACCCCAAGUCAUGAGCCUUCUUGGACUUUUGACCCCCUACAUCUUCAUCCGCAAGUAAGAAACUCUGCAAUGCCUCAGCUCUAUUUCAUUAAUCUAAGACAUCCUCAAAACGCACCGUUUUCUUGCUGACCGCAGACGUCACUCGACCACCAUGUCUCUUGAUCAGAUCUUCAGCUUCUUCGCGC